GACGUAGGGCGCGAGCGUUGUCCGGAUUUAUUGGGCGUAAAGAGCUCGUAGGCGGCUUGUCGCGUCGUCCGUGAAAACUUGGGGCUCAACCCCCAAGCUUGCGGUCGAUACGGGCAGGCUAGAGUUCGGUAGGGGAGACUGGAAUUCCUGGUGUAGCGGUGAAAUGCGCAGAUAUCAGGAGGAACACCGGUGGCGAAGGCGGGUCUCUGGGCCGAUACUGACGCUGAGGAGCGAAAGCGUGGGGAGCGAACAGG
rnacentral:rRNA from 1 species